rnacentral:rRNA from 1 species
GUGCCAGCCGCCGCGGUAAUACGUAGGGUGCGAGCGUUGUCCGGAAUUAUUGGGCGUAAAGGGCUCGUAGGCGGUUUGUCGCGUCAGGAGUGAAAACUCGGGGCUUAACCCCGAGCCUGCUUCUGAUACGGGCAGACUAGAGGUAGGCAGGGGAGAACGGAAUUCCUGGUGUAGCGGUGAAAUGCGCAGAUAUCAGGAGGAACACCGGUGGCGAAGGCGGUUCUCUGGGCCUAUCCUGACGCUGAGGAGCGAAAGUGUGGGGAGCGAACAGGAUUAGAUACCCGAGUAGUCC